CAUGGCCCGCUUGGCUGGACUGAGGAAGGAGAGGUCCACUCCCCAUCCUGGGAGCAGAUGACCAGCUGGGAAGAGGCGUUGGAGGACUGGACAGAGGUGGUAAGCAGUGAAGGAACCCUGGAUCCCCGCCCCUACCACGAUGGCAUCGUAGAG